UACGUAGGGGGCAAGCGUUGUCCGGAAUUAUUGGGCGUAAAGGGCGCGCAGGCGGUUUCCUAAGUCUGAUGUGAAAGGCCACGGCUCAACCGUGGAAUGGCAUUGGAAACUGGGGAACUUGAGUACAGGAGAGGAGAGUGGAAUUCCACGUGUAGCGGUGAAAUGCGUAGAGAUGUGGAGGAACACCAGUGGCGAAGGCGGCUCUCUGGCCUGUAACUGACGCUGAGGCGCGAAAGCGUGGGGAGCGAACAGGAUUAGAAACCCCCGUAGUCC
rnacentral:rRNA from 1 species